rnacentral:rRNA from 1 species
GGGUUGUGAGGUUAAGCGACCAAGCGUACACGGUGGAUGCCCUGGCAGUCAGAGGCGAUGAAGGACGUGCUAAUCUGCGAUAAGCGCCGGUAAGGUGAUAUGAACCGUUAUAACCGGCGAUUUCCGAAUGGGGAAACCCAGUGUGACUCGUCACACUAUCAUUACGUGAAUACAUAGCGUAAUGAAGCGAACCGGGGGAACUGAAACAUCUAAGUACCCCGAGGAAAAGAAAUCAACCGAGAUUCCCCCAGUAGCGGCGAGCGAACGGGGAGGAGCCCAGAGCCUGAAUCAGCAUGUGUGUUAGUGGAAGCGUCUGGAAAGGCGCGCGAUACAGGGUGAGAGUCCCGUACACAAAAGCGCAUAUGCUGUGAGCUCGAUGAGUAGGGCGGGACACGUGGUAUCCUGUCUGAAUAUGGGGGGACCAUCCUCCAAGGCUAAAUACUCCUGACUGACCGAUAGUGAACCAGUACCGUGAGGGAAAGGCGAAAAGAACCCCGGCGAGGGGAGUGAAACAGAACCUGAAACCGUGUACGUACAAGCAGUGGGAGCCCCACCACUAAGCCAGUGGUGAACUCCACAUACGCAUCCUUUGCGGAAGGUGCGGUUAACGGAGCGUAAGCGACGUUUAACCUCAAAAAAAGCAGAGGGGGCUUAGUGGUGGGGUGACUGCGUACCUUUUGUAUAAUGGGUCAGCGACUUAUAUUCUGUAGCAAGGUUAACCGCAUAGGGGAGCCGAAGGGAAACCGAGUCUUAAUUGGGCGUUAAGUUGCAGGGUAUAGACCCGAAACCCGGUGAUCUAGCCAUGGGCAGGUUGAAGGUUGGGUAACACUAACUGGAGGACCGAACCGACUAAUGUUGAAAAAUUAGCGGAUGACCUGUGGCUGGGGGUGAAAGGCCAAUCAAACCGGGAGAUAGCUGGUUCUCCCCGAAAGCUAUUUAGGUAGCGCCUCGUGAA